rnacentral:rRNA from 1 species
CCUACGGGUGACAGCAGUGAGGCAUAUUGGUCAAUGGACGAGAGUCUGAACCAGCCAAGUAGCGUGAAGGAUGACUGCCCUAUGGGUUGUAAACUUCUUUUAUAUGGGAAUAAAAUGUUCCACGUGUGGGAUUUUGUAUGUACCAUAUGAAUAAGGAUCGGCUAACUCCGUGCCAGCAGCCGCGGUAAUACGGAGGAUCCGAGCGUUAUCCGGAUUUAUUGGGUUUAAAGGGAGCGUAGGUGGAUUGUUAAGUCAGUUGUGAAAGUUUGCGGCUCAACCGUAAAAUUGCAGUUGAAACUGGCAGUCUUGAGUACAGUAGAGGUGGGCGGAAUUCGUGGUGUAGCGGUGAAAUGCUUAGAUAUCACGAAGAACUCCGAUUGCGAAGGCAGUUCACUGGACUGCAACUGACACUGAGGCUCGAAAGUGUGGGUAUCAAACAGGAUUAGAUACCCUAGUAGUC